GCGGGAAAGGAGGCGGUUGGUCGCCAUUUUGGGAGGCGGGCGGUUGAGGGCGGGCUAGGGUAAAGACGAAACCCAGGAAGGGUGUGAACGACAAGGGUCGUUCCCUGGCGCGACCCACACCCCCAGGCUGAGGUCUGCUGCCUUGCCGGUGUUUCAGGAGGGCAGCGUUAGAAUGCAGUGGCCCAACAUCCCCUACUCCUUGUGGGCCUCGCCAUGACGCACAGCCCCGCGGUGGGGCCGCGCUAGCUGGUCGUGGCCCCUGGAGGGCCGCCCGCGCAUCCGCAAGCACGCGGGAGCACGGGGCACUAGGAUCAAGGAUUGCCUCCCUUUUUCCACCAAACUCCGAGCCUCGUAGGGGACUGCAGCGGCUUCAGUGCCGACUGGUCACGCAGUGGGAGCCACCAGCCACUGAGACCAGGAUUCAAUCCUCAGAAAUUGAACCCUGCCCAGUCGCCCACGGGGGCAUACGCCUGUAAUCUUAGCGCCCUGGGAGGCUGAGGCAGAAGGAUCGCAAAUUUGAGCCCAGCUUGGGCAAGUAGGCGAGACCUUGUCUAAAAGUAUAAAAGAACUGAGAAUGUACUGGAAGCUCAAUGUGAAGACCUUGGUUUCAAUUCCUAGUACUGCCAAAAAUAAAAUAAAAUAUUGAAAUUCCGAGGUCUACAGCGCCUGACGGCACAUUCCGGGUUGCCUGGGGUUAGGAAACUGACCUUGACCAAUGAGGAGCAUGAGGGAUCUUACUGAGGUCCAUAGAGACUUCCUGGGGUGAUGACCUUGAGCAGAGACCAAGAGGAAAUACAGAAGAGAGCUACAAUAUCUGGGGACAAGAGAAGGGGCAGCAAGUGCAAAGGCCCUGAGGCAGGAAGAACUGGGACCCUUUGAAAGACAACAAAGAGACCGAUGUGGGUAGAACCAUGUGAAUAAAGAAAAGGAGAACAAAGGACACAUCAUGUGGGAAUGUGCCCUGGAAAUUCAAGGACAGCCUAAACUGUACAGUGAGACUCUGUCUCAAAGAAAGAAAGCUGUGAAGACACCAAGCCCAUCUUCCUGAAUGGAUGAAAUAAACAGCAACUGGUGGCAAUUACGGACGCAAGACACGGAACAAUUUUGCUUACUUGAGUGACGGACCCUCCAACAGCAGCCACACACGUGUGCCUGGUCAUUGUGCAAGUCAUUAACACAUGCCCUUGUGGUGGUGUUGGGUUUUGUUUUGUUUUGUUGAUGGCAUUAGAGAUGGAAGCCAGGGCCUCACACAUGCUGGACAAGUACUGAGCCACACCGCAGCCCUUCAUUUUGUUUUGUUUUUUCUCUCUCUUUUUUUUUGGUACCAGAGAUCAAACUCAGGUCCUUAUGCCUGCACAGUAGGGGGCAAAACCACUGAGCUAAAUCCCCAGCCCUCUCUCUCUUUUUUUUUUGAGACAGGGUCUUGCUAUGUAGUCCAGGCAGGCCUGGAACUCACAGCCAUCCUCCUGCCUCAGUGCGGGGAUGACAGGUGUGUGUCACCACACUCAGCUGAAGAUAUCAUUAUUACCCCAUUUUCCAGGUGAGUAAACUGAGGCACAGAG
ensembl:lncRNA